UUGAUGUUUUCGUUAUCUCACUCCCAACCUCAGAGGUGCCGAGACUUGGACGGAUGCCAACGGUAUGACUCACCACCACCAACUGCUUUCAAAUUUCAAUAGCCAUUCACGGUCCCACCAAAACUUCAGACUGAUUCUAUCAAGGUGUCUUGUGUAUAAAUUGCUCAGACCCAAAUUUAAUCGGAUAGUCAUAUCCUACGUAGCAGAUUCAAGCUCUGUUACCUCCCUUGGUUUGUGGACCGUUGAUGGCAACCGCCUUCCCUCUCCUCGCAUGUACCGAAUUCUCAUUUGGAUGUAGGUAAUAAAGAGUAAUUUGGAAACUUUGAGUGGGAAAAUUUUCAGAUAAAUUACGAAAUUUAAUCAAAACCUUCAAUAUUAUAAAUAAUAUUUUUAUAUUUGAGGGAUAAAUUACGAAAUAUUUUUAUAUUUCAGAUGUAGGUAAUAAAUAAUAUUUUCAGAUAAAUAAUAUUUCUAUUAAUUAAAGGUUUUUUUUGAGGUGUGGAUGAAUGGUAGAUGGACGCAAAUGCAGCCAUGAAAGCCCUAUCCAAAAACCUCCAUUUCUUAGCCACAAAAGCGAGUCCCAUAGAUAGGAUCCAAUUUGUUUAUGAGACAGAUUUGGCCACUCAAUCCUUCGAUCCCUCCCUCUUCCAGACGUGGUGUCCCUUUCUUGCGCAAAUCCACACCAUGAUUUAUAUCUUAGGCCCAUUGGACCCUAGUGGGCCUCAUCAAAGGUUAUAGACAUACUGGGCUUUGUAACCCAUUCAUGGUUGGCAGUCCAUUUUUAUAAUCCAGACAGUUCCAAUUCGCAAAGUUUUGGUUUCGGGCUUGGCGGUAGCACAAAUUUAUGAAAGAGAAUUUUCUUUUCACUUUUUAGUAGAAGGAAAUGUUUAGAAUGAUAGAAUUUUCAUGUAACUAGAAAACUAAACCAAUCAAAAUUCAAGAUUUUUUUACCAAAUUAUCUUCUAAAUAUCAAAUGAGAUUUAAUAUUUAAAAACAAUAAAUUUUUUGAACCUUCUUUUUUUUUUUUAACAAAAAUAUCUUAUAAUAAAAUUUAUGCCUAAAAUCAGUCAUAUUAAGAUUGACAUAAUUUUAUCUUGACGCAAUAGUUCACUUAUUGUACAUUAUUUUUAUUUGGGGGUGAGAGGGGCAUUCCAUGAACAUGAGUUAGUGGCUGGCAAUUGGCAUCCAUGGUAUGUGCGUGUACCAGGGAAGCAAACACAACACAUGUACAAGUAAUAAUUGCGAGCUUGACAUAAAGCACAUCGGUGCAUAAUGUGUUUUCGAAGAUGAGUGAAGUCUUCGGAAAGAAGAAUCAUUGUACACGUGACAAAAUUAUACAGUUGAUCUGGAUUGAGUUUGAAGUUUAUUUUAAUAAGCGUUUUCUAAUAUUUAUAAUAUUUAAAAAUAUUUAUUAAAUGAAUUAUUUUUAAGCGGUUGAAAUAUUAAAAGUUUUUUUAAAAUCACCGUCAAACAAAUUUUUAGAAUUAUUUAAAAAUAAUUUUAAUUUUAAGGAGUGUAGAGCUAUUAUCGUGAUUUGAUUGUGUUUUAUGUACUUGUUUUAAAAAAUUUGUUUUCUAAGCUUAAAAAUAAUUUAGAUAAGUAAUUUUUAAAAAUAGACCCAUUUGAUUGUGUUUUUUAUACUUGUUUUUAAAAACUAUUUUUUUUAAAACUUAAAAAUAGUUUGGAUACAUUAUUUUUUUUAAAAAAAAUUAUUUUGAUUUUGUAAAAACAUUGUAAAUUAGAUAUAUAUGAAAUUAAUUAAAUCGAACUCAAAAUCUUAUUAAAAAGGAAAAUAAUUUUAUAAUUGUAAAUAAAUUUUAAAAAUAAAUAUUUUUUAGUAAAAUAUAAAUAACAAAAUCAUAAAUUAUAUAUUUUUAUUACAAAUAUAUUAUUUUAGUAUAUGUACUAAAAACAUGGAUAUAAAAAUUUUUCGUGAAAGAAUAAUUAUUAUUUUUUGUUAAAUUAUUUUUAAAAAUUAUUACAUUUGUUAGAAAUAUUACAUUUGGAUAUUUUUGGUAUGAUAUUGAGUUUUGGUCAUAUCCAAUUUUAUUUGUUUUUUAUUAUUAUUUUUAAUUUCUAUAAUUUUAAAAUAGAUUUUUGUUUUUAAAUAUUUAAUUAAAAAUAAUCAGUUCCACGUGGACUUUUGAAACAUAAGACUUGAAAUACAACCUUCCAUGGACAGAGUGAAUGGAAGAUUAAUAUAAACUCGCAAUAAAAAAAUGAGAUAAGGAUUCAAAUUCCAAAACAGAAAAAUAAAAACAAAUUUUGAAAAGCAAGGAAGCAAAAACAAAAGAGAAAGUGGAAGAAUUAGUUGGAAUUGUUAUAGACUAAUGGGUGUGAUUCUGGUACAACCAAACCUCCACCAUACCACCAGCACUUGUGGGGGCUGAGACUGCCUGUCCUCCCACCAAUAAUUUUGCAGGGGGAGAGCUAAAAAACAGAGAUGACUGCCAUUUCUGACAUAACAACAUUUGGCUCCACCCACAGGGUGUCCCCACUUCCAUCUCCUACUUAUCGUCUUCCCGGAUCUGACCUGACCCAUCCUUGGAUUCCUUUCAUCAGAUCAUCACAAGUCUUCAAACCAAAUGAUUGAAAAUCAACCAUCCUAAUUGGAGAUUUUGAAUCAUUGAAUGUGAUGAAUCAUAAAUCACCACAUGCCAUGUCCUCCAACCAUCAUCCCACAUCCACCCAUGAUAUCAUUUUCUUUGGACUUUAGGCUUUUAAUUUUUAAUUUUUAAUUUUUUCUUUCCUCAUCAGACGUACUGAAAGGGGCCUAACAUAAGUGCUAUAAUUAAUCUUCUUCAACAGCCAAGCGGUUUAAUCAAUUGGAAUGAUGGAGGGAGAGGAGGGUGUUUUACACCAAACCAAUAUUCUUACCAUCCUUGAUUAAAACUAGAAAAAGUCGAGCUUAUAUUAAAUUUUCAAUAAUUUAUCCACCAUCUCACCUAACAAAACUCAAGGUUAAUUAUAAUGCCAACCUUUUGCUUCAUCACAUCAAAAGAUUUGUAGCCUUUUGGCUGCAAAGUUUGGCAUAAACAAUUGUUCACAUUUAGUUCAUUAUACAAAAUAUUAAGGCUAAAUGCGUUGGGACUAAUCUUAUUCCGACAUAAUUUAUUUAAGUCUACCCUUUUAUCAUCAACGCCAUGAAUGUAAAAUAUCGAUUCGGGAUACAAUGAAAAGUGUGAUCAAUUAGAUCUUAUUAUGUGUACUUAAAGUUAACUUUUUUACCUUAAUCUUGAAUUUUUUGUUGAUCUCGUUUUUUUUUUUCUUUUUAUACAUUGAUUUAUUAUUUAUAUCUCGUUGAAUGAUUUAAAUUUUAUCAUAUAUUUUCAAGAUGAAAAGUUUGAUAGAUAUUUAUUUACUAGGUUAAACUUUUCCUAAAAUUUAUAAUAACUCUUUGAGAUUAUAAAUAAAAGUAAUGUUUUGAAAAAUAUUUGUUGUUUUAAAAACAAAAUUAAGGAAUAUAAAAUCUGUUUGAUGACUAUUUUAAAAAAUGGUUUUUGAAAACUGUUUUAUAAUGUUUUGUAAAAUAAAAAUUUAUUUGAAAACCUAAAAUAUUUUUAAAUAUGUUUUAAAAACAAUUUUUAUAUGUAAAGUUUUAUUUUUAAUUAUUUUACAUGUUUAUAUACUUAUUUUUUAAAAUAAUUAUGAGAAAAUAAGUGAAAAUAAUAAAAAAUUAUCUAAAAAACACCAUUUUUUUUAUAUGAAAACACAACUUUAUUUUAUUUCUAAACAUGUUUUUUUGUUACGAUAACAUAAAAUCAUUCUACAAAAUAAUUACCAAACACACUCUAUUUUUAUUUUUUUUAAUUAUUCGAAUCCCACUACUCUUUAAAUUAAAAAGAAGUACACAGAUUCGCUUUCGGCCGUGACUUUAAUAACCCAUAUGUUUCAACUAACCGGCUCAGAUGACAUCAAAACACCACUGAAAACAUACAAUGAAUCCUACAAAACAAACCCCACAUACAGAAAGGUCCACACUACACUCUACACCAUUGUCUAUAAUAUAAAGACAAUCAACCUCCUCCCCUCCCACACAAUUAUUGGAUUCAUCUACAGAACCCCUUCAAAUUUUAUGCUCAUCUUUUCCAAUGGAGAGAGAUCUCACCGCGCACCGCUGCUCCUCACACUUCUCCGGCUGCAUACCGUCGUCUCCGUGCUUCCACGGCCCCGAAGACUAUUCACGCCUCCGCAUUUGCAGCCGCGGCCGCAACCGAAGCCAGAGACUCAGAAACAUCAUAAAGAGGAUAAUGAGAGAAGGCAAGAGCAUAUAUGGGUCAAAACCUUUGACGUUUCAAUACGACGCCGUGAGCUAUUCCCAGAACUUCGACGACGGAUGCCAUAAGGAGGAGUACGGACACUGUUCACAAGUGUUACGGGACUUUAGAUGGGCUGUGCCCAAGCAAUGAAUGUUUGUGUUUUAGUAUCAUCGACCUUAGCUGGCUGUUCUGAUCGACUACUGUUUCUUUAGCUUUGAUUUUGAGAAUGGAGAUAUUCGUAUAUAUAUAAUGCUAAUAUUAGUAGCUAGUAAGGAAUAUGGGUCUCUGCAAGUUUUCUUUUCUUCAUGCAUAUUGGAUCUACAAAUUCCAUGAUUUAUACAGCAAUGGAUGAAGAGGAAAUGAGAUCAGGUGGCCAUGGAUGGGCUGGCGAACCUUCAUUGCUGGGUAGUCUAUAGUGAUUUCUGGAAUUUGUUAAAGUUUUGAAUUAAUUUUACCCAGAGUUUCAAAAGUAGAAAAUAGGAAGUUAAUCUCGUUUAGUAUUUAAAGAAACUUGAAUUUUGGAUACCAGUUUUCCACCUUAUCUCAGCCAUUUGUGCUUUGGAAGGAGCUAGUUGUUUGUUCUAUAGAUGGGUAAAAACUCCCGAAGAACAUGGCUGAAUGGAGUGAACUAGGGAAUGUUUGGUAAUUGUUUUUGAAAAAAAAUUCCAUUUUUGAGAUCUGAUUUUUGUGAAAUGAAUGUUCAUAGGAAAUCUAAAAUAUUUUAAAAAUAUUUUUUAUAUUUAAUAUUUUAUUUUUAAUCAUUCUUUAUAUAACUACUUUUUAAAAGAGUAAUAAGAAAAUAAGUAAAAAAAAUAUAAAAUAAUUAAAAGAUGUUAUCAAAACAAAUAAAGAACAAGUUUUUUUUGUUAAAUUGUUUUGUAUUUUGUAGAAUAGAAAACUGUUUUCAAAAAUAGUUUUCAAACAACUCCCUAGUCUUCUUUUCAUUCCUUAUUUUUAUUAUUUUAGGCUUUGUUUGAAUCGAUUUAUAAGGACUUUAGCAUAUAUUUAAUAAUUUGGUUAAAAAUAAUUAUGUUUUAAAAGGAGCAUAGUAUAACAAGUUAAAAAAAAAUUAUUUCUUAUAAAUUUUUUUAUAAUCUUUCCUUCUUUAACUUGGAACAAUGAUUAUCUUUUUAAAUUGAGAAUCGCCUAACCCUUUUAAUAAAAUAUUGUUAUAUUAACAUAAAAAAAACUUUUUAAAAUGGAAAUCUUUAGGAUUAAUAGGUUAAAAAUAUGAAAAAAAAAAUUCCAAAAAUGGUAAAAUUAACCUAUCUAUUUUAUAAUUUAAAGAAUAGUCAAUUUUUAAGCAUAAAUUCCUUUCAAUAAUUUGAUUAUUUACACAUAUUUUAAAAAAUUAUUUUUGUAAAAAAACCUGAAAAUAUUUUUUAGGAUGAAAAAAAUUGAUGAAUAUAAAUCGGGAUGAUUUAAUCUUUUUUAAUCAAAUAAUCUAAAUUUUAAUGGGAGAUAUUUGGAAAUAUAUUUUAUAUUUAUAUGGAGUAGUUAAAUUAAACAAUUUUUAAAAAAUCACAAAGGUGUACUAAAUUGGAUAUUAAUUGAUUAAGUAGAUUAUAACCGGCCAAUUAAUCUUAAAAAUCUGCAAUGAAUUAGAGAAGAGGUCUCUGAGAACACGAAGAGUGUUUGUGGGAGCGUGAUGAAUCAAAGACAAGUUUGACCACUGCCCUUUGGUCGGUUGUUGGGUGGGUGUGAUCAGUGGACACAUGAAUAUAUUCUCUGGGGUAUGCAUUUGUGAAGAAUAAUAAUUGUAUCGUGACCUCACUCCAUGCUACGUGCAUUCGAUACAACUGGACACGUUAUUGGGCCUUGGAUUGUGGAUCACAUCGCAUCACAUCGCAUCGCAUCGCAUCACUCCUCAAAGGCCCAUCCCAAAGGCCCACGAUGGACCCAUUCCCCAAUCCACCCCUGGCGCUUGUCUCCACACAAGGAAAGGUUCAUGCGUCACAGUCCUGUCACUUUCUCGAGAAAAACGUUUCCUCUGUUCAAAUAUGAAAUAUUCAAACCUACUCUCACCACCGUUUGUCGCUUGUCACAUGCCUCACCUCAUUCCAAGACAGUUUUCUAGUCAAGAUUUGGCUUACAACGGUUUGAUCCCAGUCCCGUUGCUCUUGUGAUUUUGCUGUUGAUUUCAAUUAUAUUGGGGUUUGAUCGUCUAAGUGAUAUGCUUUGGUGGAAUAUUUGCUUACGUGCUGCAUUGGAAAUGGUUUACAUUUUUUUAGUAGUAUUGUGGUCCUUGAACUGUUUGGUGGGUCUCAGACAGUCAGACGGCUAGGUUUCUACAUAGCAUGAUUUGCUUUAGUAUCCAAAUCAAACGGGUUUAUUUUUUAAUAUUCUUUUUACUUGACCUUUUUGAUUUUUAAUUGCUUUGUUUUCAUGUAUCAUUCCAAAACUUUCCUGUUGAAUGUCCUGUGUUCUACUACUUAAUUUGCCAUUUUUGUGACAAUGCUAAAUUGAUAAAGGUAUGAUUACUUUUAUUGGUUUUCCCUCACCCUUUUGUAAUUUUUUUUUUUCCUUUUUCCUUUUUUUUNNNNNNNNNNNNNNNNNNNNNNNNNNNNNNNNNNNNNNNNNNNNNNNNNNNNNNNNNNNNNNNNNNNNNNNNNNNNNNNNNNNNNNNNNNNNNNNNNNNNGAUUUCACCAUGUUUGUCAGACAGAAUAUGUUAUGGUCUCUGACAUGGGUUCAAAUGAACUUUAAUUUUGAGAAGCUUUCCUGCUUCUUUUGUGACUAUUGAUUAUUCACUGAUCAUCUUGAUGCUAGUGUUGGAAUCUUAUCCAAUAUGUCAAUUCUUUUCUCUCUUUAGCAAACAUAUAUAGAAGAAGGGCAUCUAGACCCCAUCAUCCAUAGCAAUAAUAAUGAUAAGAUUUUUGACAGCUAAGGAAAUCGAUGCGCACAUGGUAUUUUUAAUUUUUUGUGAAGCUUUACAAGAAAAUAUGAUCCGACUGAUCUGUAACCGAAUUUAUGGUUGGCGCCUUCAACCAUGUCGAUUGCUUGUGUAGCUCAUCUCAAUCUGAGAAGCAUACUAUUGUAUGCUUUGGGGAUUUUUCAAAUGAAGUUGUUCUCUGCAGCAGUUUCAAGAAAUAAAGCGAGGAUCAAUAUUUGAAUGUAGUACUGUGGACUCUUGACAUUUCUUUAAAGGGCGAGAAAGGAAGUUUUACCCUCCCUAGGUUGUCUUGCUGCUGUCUGCUAACAUCGUUGCUUAGGCUGGCUUAGCUCGAGAUGGAUGGGGACGGCUGAAUCCUCUCCAAUACUAAAGCCAUAUGGAAUGAUGGUAUUCGUGCUUGCGGCAGUCACGUCUCUUGUGCUAUAAACCUGAGACAUGAGGCAUUGUUCCUAGGCUCAUUUAGAUAACUAGUUUCGCUUAAUAUGGUUUAAACAUUGUGAUUGUAUAGAUGUUAGUAAUUUAACCAAUGUACCUUCUUAUACAAUUCCAUGUUCUCUUGGCGAAUAAGGGUCAUCUUCUUGUGCAGUUCCACAUUUUCCUGUUGAACAAGGUUGCCCUGUAAACAAAAUACAAAAAUUAGCUUAUUAUAACUGAAAUCAUUCUUGUAUAAGUCUUAUGUUAAUGAACAGCUGUUGUUUUUGGAAAAACCUUUUGCUUUAGCUCCUCUAUUUCAUUUGUUAGGAUUUGCUCCUGCAGAAGUUAGAGAACCAUGUUAAGUGUUAUGCAUGCAGAACGCUCUUCAUGUGACUGUGCCACAUGAGAGUAAACACAAAGGAUUGCAUGGAGGACUAAGGCUUCUGACCUUUUUCAUGCGGACACCUCGCAAACUCAUUUCCAAUUGGUUCUCUAGAUUUUGUAGAUCCUUGACACUCAAACCAUAAAGUUCUUCGCCCAUCAGUUGCCUGUAUUUUCAGAAUGUGAAUGUAGGUCCAUUAUUCUUUAAUGCAUAUUCCAAUAUUUGAUGCCUUGUCGUAAUUUAAUAGCAUAUCUUGGGAAAAUAAGGGAGGUCAGUUCUCAUCAUCGAAGUACCUCUUUUAUCAGCUAUUUCAUUAUUGAUAACUAUAAAUUAUGAAUGUUAAUGUAAUGUGCUAGUGUUUAAAAAUAACAGCUUAAGAAACAAGUUUUAGACCUGUUUGUAGAUUGUUUCGUGUAACCAUAAAUUACUGAAAAGAGGAAGUGAAAACAUUUGACCUUGUGGUUAUUAAGUAAAUUAUAUGGUUCUGGAAAAUAACCAGAGUCUGUAUUUUAAUGCAUUUCUUUGUUUUGUUUCCUUUAUGACCACAGUUUCGUCAUCCAGCCUAGUCCUGACCUAGUAAAUAUAACUGAAGGGACCCAGCUAACUGGACACAAGCAUUUAUGCUUGUCAAAUAUGCUUGUCUAAUAUUGACCAUCCCAGCAACAAGCUAUAAUAAGAAAUGCAGUACUCUGUUGACCAUGGAGUAAAACAAAAGCAUAAUGGUGCAUCCCAUGAUGUUCGUGUCUACCCAGGCUGAAUUAAACUUUCCCACAAUGUCACAUGUAGUUCGUGAGACUUCACAUUGAUGAGUCACAUGGUGUUGUUGGUUGCCCGGACAAAAUCGUUCAUGUACUUGUUUUGUCCACCUAGAAUGUCUCUGAAUUUUUCUAGUUUUAGCAAUAUCUUGUUAUUAUUUCAUUUUUGAUAUCAGUCUUACAUCUGAAGGACCAAAAGAACUCCUAGUGGACAUAUUAAAUGAUGCUAUAAAGUACACCGUGACAUAGAAAGCUAUAAUGGUACCAUCAAUUCUUAUAAUGUGCUACUUUCAGGUUAAUCACCUUUUCUUAUCAGAUCAAGUAAUUUGAAGGAGAAAGAUUGUACCUGUGGUUUUCUUGCAAGUUCUGUAGUUGUUGCCUUAAAAUUGCUGCUUCUCUCUGCCAAAACUAGCAGAAGUGCAAUGGCACGUAUUAUGGCAUGCAAAUAUGUAAGAUACUUGCUACCACUAUGACUAAAUAGAAAAAUAAACACUUUUUAAGCUCCAACCUCCAUGAAUUUGACAUUAUAGAAAUAAGAUAAAUUCUGAAUCUACAUCUUUUUUAUGUAAUUCUGUUAUCCCUUUUGAUCAACAGAAAAAAAAAGGAAAAGGAUAAGCUUCCAAAACUUAAUUAAUGUGAGCACAACCUGAUAUGAUAAAGUUAGUAUAUUGAAACCACUUAAAGAAAUGAGCCAAGCUACUAAAGUAUUUGUUUUGCAGUCCAGGGCUUUUGUACUAAUAACAAUAUAUAUGUUUUUUUUUUUUUUUAUGUGAAUUUUUUGGUAAUUACAUUUCAAAUUCCUUUUGUCAAUAUUCUUUAAAGGUGUUUGUUGAUUAUAAAAUUUUAAUAUGAUCAAUCAGUAGUGCAAGUUUUUGGAUUUUAUUUAUGCAUAAUGGAAACUUGGCAUAACAAACUGAUCAGUAGGCGGCUCAUGUUUUUGCCAGGAUUCACAGGUGAAGGAACAUGCAUCAUGCAUAUAAAGUCAUUUCAUGUCAAUAUGUAAUAGUUGGGUUUGGUUUUCAUAUGCAACAUCCAAUUCCCAUAUUGUUAUAUCAUAGUGUUCACAAGCAUCUUGCAAUCUGCAUAAACAACAUAAUACAAACUUUUGAUGGUUUACCAGUGACUUUUCUCUUAUUUCAUUGUUAUGACUAACACAUCCUAACAUAAUGGUUAUACUUGGGCAUCUCUUUGUUUUCCAAGUUUUAGUCUUUUGCAGUUCCCUUAAUAUAUUAGAAUUUUAUGUUUAUAAUGGUUAUAAUAUGUCUUGUUGGAUGGUCCUAUAGAGCAGGUUUUCAGAGUGUGCGGCGGUGCUAAUUUACAUUUUCUGUGCAUGAAACUGAAUAUUAAGAUGAUUUUUCCUGGACAUUGGAAGAGUCUCAACUUCAUAAUCUGUUAUGCUUUCGCACAGUUUCAACUUUCUAUUCUGUGAUGCUUAAGCAUAGUCAUUAGGAGAAACUUAUCUUUUCUCUCAGUGCUCUUCUUUAUUUUAAACUUUGAAAGUUCAUUUUCUUGACUUUUUAUUUUUUAUUUUUUAUAGGCUAAAUAAAUUCAUUAAGAGAGCCUAACAGAAAGGGGUAGCACUCCCCAAGUGUACUGAAUGUAUACAUAGGCAUCAAAGAGAAAAACAAAAACAAAAGAAAACUAACUCCUUAUGCAAUCAAUCAAAUCCAUAAGAGACAUAUUUGAAGACCUAAAGAAUCCCUAGUCUGUCCACUCACUUAAAAAACUCUUUUAAAGCCUGAGGUGUGCUUUCCUCAUUGUCAAUGGUUCUUGAGUUCCUCUAUAUCCAAAUGAUGAAAAACAAGUGGAACAGGACUGUGCUCCACACACCUUUUUUUUUUUUUUAUUACAUUUUUUGCCUACAAAAAUCCCAUGUUAACAAUGUAAAACCUAUUUUUACUGAUUGAGGAAGAGCCCAAAAAAGAUCAAAGUGAUAGAAUAGGAGUUUCCACAAAAUACAGGCCAAACUGCAAUGAAUUGGAAUGCGAUUGGCUGGUUCCUCACAAAACUUGUAGAAGCAGAAGCAAUUAGUUAAAUGCCUACCCCAAUCCAUAAGCAGAUUAGUAGUUAGAAGUUGAAGAAAGUCACUUUAGGAGUGUUUGAGACCACACUCCUUCUGAGGGAAAAAGGCAACAAGAUGAGUCAAUGAUCUAUAAAAGAAUUUAACAAAGGUAUCUUGUUCUUGGUGCCUCUCCACUCUAGACAACCCUAACAUCCUCUAGGCACCACCGUCCACGGAACCUGUUGCAGGAAAAGACUCACACUCUCCAACUGUCGGUCUUGAAAAUCUCUCAAAACAAGGACUCCACCUGCCUCUACCACAUUGCAAACUCCAAAUAUCAGCCACCUAAACAUCCUUGUUCUUGGCAAUAGUAAACAACUGGGAAAAAAAUCUUUCAAUACCAAAUCUCCACUCCAAAUAUCCCACCGAAGUUUUGCUCCAUAGCCUCUUCUGAUAGUUUCCUAAAAAUCAAUUUCAAACCCUAUCUCCCCUCCCUAGAGCACCAACCUACCCAUAUUUUCUUGAGAUAACUCAUCUCCACAAAUUGUUCUGAUCCACGUGAAACAUCCUCUACCAUUUACCCAGAAAAACCUUAUUAAAUAUAGACAUAUAACAAAGAUUCAAACCACACCUCCUUUUUUGUGAGUAAAUGAUAGGUCAUCUGAUGUAGUAAACAAGAGUGAUUAUCUAUAAUCGAAUAGGUAGGGCUAGGAUUUCACUUGUUGUGGAUUUAAGUGGAACUGUGAUUAUAGGUUGUGGUAACAAGGAAAAAUAAGAUAAUGUUCGAAGAUUAGCCCAAGAAAUCAAUAAUUAAUUUUCUUGCCGUAUAUUUGAUUUUUCCUACCACAUUUUUUCUUUGGUAAAAGUUAACCAUGAUUUUUGUACCAAGAAUCUGGGUAAAUUUGACAUAGGACCCUUGCAAUCAAAUUGCUUGAUUUCAAGGGAUUGUUUUUUGAUACGUAGUUUAAUUUAAGGGAUCUUGUUGACCCUUUUUUUGUACAUAUAUUGUAAAUUAGAAUGUAAUGAAAUGUUCAAGAGACACUUAGAGAUGAGAAUUGAAGGAAAACAAUUAAUGAGGAGAUUUGAGCCUUAGAAAAAAAUUGAGACAUGGGAUAUAGUUGAGCUUCCCAAAGGGAAUGAAACAGUAGGUUGUAAGUGGAUUUUCAUAAUUAAAUACAAGGCUGAUGGGAGAAUAAAAAGGUAUAAGACUAGAUUAGUAGCUAAGAGUUUCACCCAAACUUAUAGUUUUGAUUACCAAGAGACCUUCGCAACAGUGGCAAAAAUGAACACUACUCAUAUUCUAUUAUUCUUAGUUGCUAAUCUUGAUUGAUCUUUGCAAUAAUUUGAUGUGAAAAAUGCUUUUUUAUAUGAUGACUUAGAAAAAGAGGUAUAUAUAGACACUCUACUUGGGUUUGGUGGCAAGGCUUGAAAGAACAAAGUUUGCGAAGUCUGCAAAGUUCCUUUAUGGACUUAAACAAUCUCUAAGAACAUGGUUUGAGAGAUUUACAAAAUCAAUAACAAAAAUGAACUACCAUCAAAGCCAAGGGGACUAUACACUCUGUUUAUCAAACACAACUUCUUUGGUAAGUUGAUUGCCUUAAUAGUUUAUGUAGAUAACAUUAUUGUUAUUGUCAUUGAUUAGGGUGAAAUUCAAAAGCUAAAACCUUAUUUGUGCAAUGAAUUUGAGAUCAAGGAUCUAGGGAGUCUAAAAUAUUUCCUGAGAUUAAGGUGACACGUUAAAAAAGGGGGGAUAUUUAUUUCCAAAUUGAAAUAUAUCCUCUAUUUGCUAAAGGAGACAAAGAUGCUUGGAUGCAAACUAGUAGAGACUUCGAUUGAGUAAAAUCAUAAACUAUGAGGAAAAUAAAAAAAUGAUAUGGUAGAUUUAGAUCUUUAUCAAAGAUUAGUGGAGAAAUUAAUUUAUUUAUCUCACUCCUGAGUCCCUGACUAGACAUUGCAUAUGUUGUAGGUUUGGUAAGCGAAUUCAUGCAUUCACUACAUGAAUCUCACAUGGAGGCAAUAUGCAAAAUCCUAUGUUAGCUAAAGUUUACACUAGGCAAGGGAAUCUUAUUUCAUAAGAUAGGAAAUAUAGAAUUGGAAGCUUACAGUGAUGCUGAUUGGGUUGGACCUUCUCGGGAGGAAAUCUAGUUACUAGGAGAAGUAAAAACAAUCAGUAGUGGCUAGAUCUAGCAUAAAAGUUGAGUUUAGGGCCAUGGCUCAAGGGAUUUGUAAACUACUCUGGAUAAAGAUCAUUCUUUAUCCAUAAAGUCAUAUUGUGAUAACCAAACUGCUAUAAUGUUUUUUUUUUUUUUUUGAUAGGUAAAUUUUUUAUCCCCAUUGGGACUUGAACUUGGAACCUCCUACAAACCCUCCCUAUCCCUUUACCACUUGAGCCAGGCCUCAAGACCAACCAAACUGCUAUAAAUAUAACCCAUAACCUUGUUUAUCAUGAUCAAACCAACAUGUGGAGAUAGAUUGACAUUUCAUCAAAGAAAAACUUGACAUUGGCUAAUUUGCACUCCAUAUAUCCCAUCUUCUAAACAAUUAGCACAUAUAUUAACACAAGGCUUAUGGAGUUCAACUUUUUAUGUAAUCUUAGACAAGCUGGGAAUGCAAAAUAUCUUUGCACCAACUUGAGGGGAUUGUUAAAAUAUUAGCCUAAGAAAUUAACAAUUAAUUUUCCUGCCAUAUAUCUAAUUUCUUCUACCAUAUUUUUUUUACCCUUUUUUUGUUUUUUUGUUUUUUUUUUUGUAAAAGUUGACCCAUGAUUUUUGUACCAAGAAUUUGGGCAAAUUCCAUAUAAGACCCUUGCAAUUAGGUUACUUGACUUUAAGGGUCCUUUUUUGAUAGGUAGCUUAAUUUCUUUUGUAUAUAUAUUGUAAACCAGAAUGUAAUGAAAUAUAUGAUAGAUUAUUUUUUGUCAGAUAAGAAAAGAAGAAAAGAGAGGAAGAAUGGAAAAGAGAAGGUAAAAAUAAAGCAUUAGAAUCUCAAUAAGGUUUUAAAGGAAUUUAACCUAGAAGAAAAAAGUAAUGGAGUCUCACCAUCACAAGCAAAGAUGAUUCUUAAUCUUGUUUGAAGACUUAUAUCUCCUAACUGAUAAAAAUUAAAGCAAAACUAUAAAGCUAAGUUUUAUAAAUUCUACUAUGAGUCAAACUAAUUCCUCCUAAUUUGAUUCCUCAUUCUCUUUUCACUUUUCUUCAUUUUCUAAUUACACUUUGAAGAUGUAUCCUCAUCAAUCCCCUCCACUCGGAGGAAACUUGACCUCAAGUUUUUGCAGCUGUUCCACAAUAUAUUGAAAUCUAAAGCAAUGCUUUCCACCUUUCCUUUCUUAGUUGUUCCACAAAAAAAAAAAAAAAAAAUGGAAAAUUCAUUAUGCAUAGGAUACAACCACCAUUGAGAGCCUAACAUCUCCUUCACUUUGUUUAAAUUAGAAUGACAGCUCUAAGCUUCUUUAUUUAUAGCCAUUGAUUAACAUAAUUUUGUACUGAUAUAACAGCAGCUGCCUUUCAUUUUGCUGCAUAUAUUUUCUAAACAAGAUCACCACUGCAGUGUGCUUAGAAUGUAGUUUCGGUUACUUGGGUUAAAACAAAAAUCUUGCAUAUGAUAAAUAUUAGAAAUUGUUCCUAAAUAAGUCUUGCUGCCAUGACCAAGAACUCAAUCCAUUUGGACUCUAAAUCACCAAUCUAAUCAACACUAAGAAACACUUUGGUCUUCCUUACUUGCAAAAUUUUCUUCUUUGUAGUUCUCUUAUCUAAAUUUUUCCAUCCAUGUUUUCCCAUUCAAGUGCAUGCAUAAUGAGCACCGUUCUUGAAUGUGUCUAAUUCCUUAAUUGGUGGAAUUUCCUUCAUUGGAUGGAGAAUUUCUUACACCCAUUUUCUAGAAGAGUGGAGUAUUUUUAUAACCAUUGUGUUGAGCUCUUCGAUAAAAAGGUAUGGCCUUCCUAGCAACAUAUGACAAAUUUUUAUUGGUAAGAUAUCACAUCAUAUUGAUUCCUCAAAGACCUUGCUAAUAAUGUAUGUAACUAAACAAUGAGAAUUUCAAAAUAGAGGUGUCAUUUACGUAUGCUAGUUAAUAAGGACAUUCUUAGGUUAAGCUUUUCAAUGAAAUCUUAUGAAGCCAUAUUUAAACUACUACUUCCAUUGGUAAUCAUAGUACAAAGGCUUGCUUGGGAAGAAGCACCCAUAUGGAAAAGUAGCAUGUUGCCAAUCCUCUCCUUUCUUUGUCCUUAGAGCAACCAAUAAUGUUGCAUUGCAAGGCUCUUGGGAUACAACCUAUGUUGCAUGGGUUUAGGUAUGAGUGUUGGAUGCGGGUAUUUGUUUAGGUAUUUGAUCCUUCACAACUCAAAUUUUAGGAUAUGAAGACUCGGCUAAAAAGAAUAUAAAAAACUAGCAUUGGUACUGAGAUACGAUAUAAUAAAGGAAAAGUUAAUUAAAAAUAAAUUAGAAUUAAAGAUAUAUUUUUUAAAAGUUCCCAUCUUUUCCUUUUAAUUUUUUUCCUCUUAUCCCUAAAUGUUCUUACAAAAAUUCUCUUUUUAGCUAACUGUUUUUUCUUUUCUCUAAUGUAAUUAUUCCUAAGUUGAAAGGAUAAAAGGAUAUCAAUGAAAAGAUUAGUCACACGCAAAGUAAAAUAGAAGCGUCCAACAAGGAUCCCAUGUCCACACCCAUGUCAUGUUGUGUUGAUAUAGGUACAUUGGGUGAAAUUGAAGGGUCUAGGUGUCAUAGGAUAAAACAGUACAAUAACUAUCUUUUUUACCAAGUUGCUCAUCAUUAUUAAUCUCAUGUUCCUUUGGAUAAGGUUUGGAUUCAAGUUUCGGUUCUUCAACACAAAAGUGUAGCCUUUUGGUUGGAAAGACAACCACGUAAUGACCAUGUUCCCUAUACUUGAAGCAUAAUGGAGUUAUGCCAACCCUUUUUUUAGCAAAAUGCAUGGAAGUUUUACCUUUUUAACAUUUUUGUUAGUUGCAUUAGAAGAUUGUUGAUUGUUGCCUCCAUUUCCAUCAACGAGAGUAUUAAAUUUUAUUGUACUUGAAGGUUUACUUCUUGUUUGAUUAGAGAAGACCACCGCUUAACCUUGGAUUUAAUGGCAAGUUGGUAAACAUCCUCUAUUGUGUUAGUAUGUGCUACUACCAUCUCAAGUUGAAUCUCCAUUUGAAACCCAUCAUUAAAACAAGUGUUUACUUGAGCCUUGUAUUCUUUCGCCUGGUUGCAAAUAGUCAACUCAUGAAAUUCCUUAGUGUAUUGUUCAACUAAUCUAUUGCCUUGUUUAGGUGAGAACAUCUUAGCUGCAAAAGUUGGAAUAAUUAGUUGGAGGAAAGUGUUCUUUCAUUUUCAACUUCAUCUCAUUACACGUGCUUGUUAUAAAAUUACAUCCUUUUUCAAAUGCUUUGUGAGGUGAUUUUUCAAGGUAAAACUCCCACUCCCUUUCCUUCUUCAACUAGUAGUUUUUUAUGAUUUCUCUGCAAUAACUUCAUAAUUUCUUCUAGUUUGGUUGUUAAGCUUCAUUAUGGCCUCUUUUCGUGAUUAUUGAAGCUUCUUCUAAAUGCGUUAAAGUGGCAUCUUGAUCACUAGAAGUAGUCUUGGAACUCAUGCUUGGCUAAAUUGCUUUUCUCCUUAGUUGCAUGCACCUUCAGGCCAAGAACUUCGGUUGUGAUACCAAAAUUGAUGUAGGACAACCUUAGGAUGGUUGUCUACAUUUAAAUGGUUGGGCUAGGAUUUCACUUGUUUAGGGUUUAAGGAGAAGAACUAUGAUACCUAGACUUUUCUUUUUCACUAGCAUAUUGUAUUAACAGAACAUGUGUGUGGGUGUGGGUUUCUCGUUGGAUACUCCUACUUUGCUUUAGAUAUGAUUAUUUGAUUUUGAUUGAUUGAUUGAUUGAUUGAUUUAUUUUUUAUUUUUAACUUAGUAGAUUAUUACAUUGAAAAAAGAGAGAAUUUAAAAAUAUUUAGGUAUAAGGAAUAAAAGCUAAAGAUAAAAGGAAAAAAAAUAGGAAACUCUUAUUAAAGACAUUAUUUUUAAUUGAUUUCUAAUUGUUUUUUUCUUUAUUAUAUCGUUUCCAGUAUCCAUGUCUAAAUUUUGGAUCCUUCUUAGUAAGUUCUUUGUAUCCUAAUCUUGGAGUUAAAAGAAUUUGAUUGCUAGAAAUGUAUCUACACCUUACACCUCCAACCAAGACCAAGCAACACAGGAGAGGAAUAAUUAUUUAAGCUUGUGGUAGUGGGGAAAAUAAAAUAAAAAGUAGAAAAAGAAAGGAUAGAAAAGAAGAGAUGAAAUAAAGUCUUAGAAUUUCAUUGAAGUUUUCUAAGAAUCUCAUCUAAAACAUAAGGGUAUUGGAAUCUCAUCAUCGCAAGCAAAGAUGCAUGAAAAAACUAAUUUAAUUCUCUAUUUUAUUGAAACCCAAGAUCUAUUAGGACUCUAGUUACUCUACUAGGAUUCUAUCUCUUUUUCUAAGAUUCCUAUAUCUCUGAAGCAAUAAGAGUUAAAACAAAACUAUAAACCCAAAUUUUAUAAAUUCUACUAUGACUCAAAUUAACUUCUCCUAAUUUGACUUUUCUCUUUUUUCUUCCUUUUGUGAUUAAACUUUGAAGAUGGAUCCUCAUUGCCAUCUCACGCUUCCUUUGUUUUUCAUUUUUCCUUUUCUUUUUUAAUAUUUAAUAGUAAUUAAUCAUUUUGUGAUGAUGAUUUUUUGUUUAUCUUAGUCAAUAAAAUGUAUGAAUGCUGUUAUGUUCUGCAUGCAUGUUGAGAUAUGAUGCUUGUAGGAUAAGAAGUGGAAGCUAAAUAUAGGAAGUAAGUAAUCGUAAAAGUUUGUAAAUUGGUAGAUGUGACAUCAAAUCAUGGCAAUCUUGUGGUGUUCUUGCAAGGUGUAGCACUUGAAGACUCACUAAUGUAGAGCUUCAUUGAUUUCCUUUGAAGUGCUUCAUAUAUGUUAACUUUUCUAUUGGCAUAAUACCAUUAAAGAGAGUCUUGGCUGACAAGAUGCUAGAAUAUUGCAAUACUAUCUGCUUUGCUCCUGAUAGCAUUAGUUGUGCUUUUUGACACUAGCUGAGAGUGGGGAGUUCUUUGUUUGAGAGAAACUACCAUUUAGAUGGGAAAAUUGAAUAUCAUUCACUGAGACAAAGGACAAAGAAUGAAAAAAUGGAUGACAAAAAUCAUCAUUACAAUGAAGAAGCAUAAAUGCUUUUAUUAACGCCUUGAUGAAUGACAGAGAAUCCUAUGAUUCCUCUUUUUGUUGUUUUACUUUUUGUAAUUCUCUUCUUAGACAAUGAAAGACCUUCUGAAUUGGGUCUUUUACAAGGUGGCAUUGAUGCAGAAGGUUUCAAGAUAUCUACCCUGAUCCUAGUGAUUUGAGCCCCAUGAAGACUAUAUAUGAUAUAGAAAGAACAAAGAAGAACUAAAGAAAUGAGCAGAAUAAGAAGAAUAAAAUGUGAGGGAAGAGCAAGGCUACCUAAGUAUCUCCUCUCCUUCCCAAGGUAGUUAGUCUAAGCAAAAGUGAAGAAAAGUUAGCACUCUGAGUUUGUCAUACCAAUUUCUAAUCCAGUGCACAUAACUAAUUUUGACCUAUAUAGCACAGACAUAGAUAACAGGAAGUCAUGCGUGCCGAGCUAGAACAUUGUCACUGUUGGAUGUUUCCAAAUUGGUGGAAAAAAAAGUAUUUUGGGUGCCCCAAGGGGACAGCAGGAUACAACUGGACAAAUUUUAACUACUAAUAAAUUGCUUUUAUAUAUUUUUUUUAAUUGGACACAACCUUAGGGAUACAGCAUUCAGGAAGUUCGAUUCUAUUGGUAGCAGUGAUACUCCUAAGGAUUAAGAUCAAAAUACCUUACUUCAAAACUUGUUUCCAAACAUGAGACAUCUGGAGAGAGGACAAGAAAUUCGAAAUGUCCAUGCGAUUACGUGGUUGGGGAUUUAUCACUUAGUAAAGACUCUGUCAAAAGCAAAUGAUAUCUUUUUGAAGAAAUUGACAAAUUUGAAUGUUGUAUGUAGAGUUCCAAGUAAUGCAGUGAUGAAAAAUAAAAUGGGCAAUAUUUCUACAUGCUUGAUCUGUUCUUGGAAUACAGGAUUCCUAGACAUUUGAAUGGCACUCCAGUUGCAGAACAUGAAGGAUUGGUAAAAUACUAAAAAGUUAGGGAGGAUGCUAUUUGCGAAAGUUUCUGCAGCUGUACUAGCCAUUGUGUGGUAUUUUUCUUCAGUGCUAGAUUAAGAUACAAUAUCCAGGUAUUAGUUUUCCUUGAAAUGAGUCUUCAAGGACAGAAGCUAGUGGUCAAGUGAUGAUGAUUGUGAUGAUGGCCCAGUAAACAGUAAAAUAGGCAAGGGGUUGCAGUAAAGAGCAUUUAAAAGCCUGGUUUCAUAUGCAAGAUCUUCAAGUUUCUGUACCAUAUAAUAUGCAUGCAUUCACACAAAAUACACUUACAAUAAUAAGCAUACAUGCAAAAUUGUAUGCAUGCAUGUGUGGUUUUAAGAUUAGUUAAGUUUCUCAUUGGUAUUCCUCUUUCAGACAGAAUGUUCUGUUCUUUUGAUGUCUCCUAAUUCUUUAAUGCAUAUUUAAUAUUGCUGUGACUCUUCCCAAACUCUGUAAGAGGCUUCAUUGUUAAAAAAAGGGAUGAACUUGGAAUUUUGUAUCUAUGAUCACAGGUUCAACUAAGGCUUUUUUUUUUUUUGUUUUUGUUUUUCUGUCAGUGUUAAAAAAAGGUUUUAUUUUGUUGGUGCACCUAUGGCAUGUUUUAAUUUCUUUAUUUAGUCAAUAACUUAAUCUUGUAGACUAGGUUUUGCAAUGCUGAAAGGUAAAUUAAGAUGGUCCUAUCACCCAUGCAUGCAUUAUUGACUGCCAACCCUUUUGAGCAUUACAUGCCUUACAAAGGAUACACUUAUUGGAUGAUCAGAAUUAUCCUAUCAGUUCAAUGUUCAGGAUAAAUGCCUAGUUCUUGGUAGAAACCAAAAUCCCCUCUUCUACCUGCUACAGAUACUUGACACGGAAAACAUAUGUUGUUUGCCUGUCUCAGUUGUGUCUAAAAAGAAAAAAUUCUUAAUUUUCUAUUAUUUGGUAAUACCCAUACAUGUUCAGCACUCAUAAUUAGACAAAUAAUGUGAUGAAAUUAAAUCUUUUAGAUAUAGCUCUUUUUGUGCUGUGGAACUUGCAGUUGAACAUUGAAGGAUGGUUAAUGAAGGAAUACCUUGACUUCUGAUGCUGGAUUCAGCAAUUGAUGAUUCUCCUCUUUUGAUUUGUGAUAUCGGUCAAUUGCAGAUUUUAUGCUGGUAAGAGUGAAGAGCAAAGUGAUUAAUUUUUGCACAAUUCAUUAACUUUAAUACUGGAAAUUUCAACAUGAUAUUGUGGUAUUCCAGGAACACAGCAACAGAAAUCAAAGGGGAGAAAAGAAAGGAAUAAAAAGUAACGAAGGCUAUAAUGCAGAUCAUAAUAUCCAAAUACCUGUAGCCUUUCUUCUUGGUUGCUAUGUUGUGUCAUACGGGUAUAUGUAAUUCGUGAUAUAUGCUAUUUAAUGUAAGAAACUGAUGAUUAUCUGUGGUCAAGAAUUUGAGAUUUCCAUGUUGAGGAGCUAGAAUAACAUACAGGUUUUAAAAGUGGAGAUGUCCUCUCAGUUUCUUGAACUUUCCAUAUCCAAACUUAAAAGAUCUAAGGCUAGUUUCCUAUUUUAAUUUUUAACUGAAAACCUUGACAGGAUUAGCUAUACUAGGUUGAAUCUAAAGACUUGAGAACUGCUUGUUAGGGAUACUUGGUCAUUUUUCCAUCACUUACUUUUCUCUGUCAUAAAAUAUCUUUUAAUAUCUUUGCUACUUCCUAUUUGUCUGAUCAGUUGGUGCUUGAGGGGAAAUCAGAAGUUCAUUGUAACAUACCUCAACUUAUUCUUCUCUUGUGGAUGCAAACUCUGUGCAAAUGGUUUAUUGUACCUUGGAAUUAGAGACUCCAAUUUUCUAACAUUGUUGUUACUCUCUCUCAUGGAAAGAGAUUUUUUUGUAAACAUGAUACUCAGAAUGUUGACUAUAUUAUAAGUUAUAAAUGGUUCAGUUUUAUGCAUGAACAAUGAGAUAGUUAUGAAGAGAUGCACAUAUUUUAUGUAUAAUUUGAUUCAGAACCUGUGAUUCAUUUUGUCACUUAUCACUGCAGACUGCAGAGAAAGCAGGAAAGUGAGUAAGUAAAUAAAAAAUGAAACUGUAUGCUUGAAACUUAUUUGGAGUCAGCAGAUACCAUUCCAAAUUAGGUAUCUUUAAAUUGAGAGGCCUUAGCAGGGCUUGUACUUGAGAUUCUUUUAGUAGACAUUUAGAAGAACUUCUCUCUUCCUCUCUGAAGGAGUUCAAAAAACAUUUGCUAAUGACUCUUUUGCUAUGAUGUUCCUUGCUUCCUGCUGCUAUAAAUUUAGGUUUGGUCAAAACUAGGCCUUACCUCUCACACUUUCCUUUCUACUCAUCUGACUAUAUUUCAUGCUAGUCCUUCCAUUCAUCAUUCUGCUGAAAUUCUAGCUGUUUUCCACUGAACCUGUCUUUUCAAUAUCACAGGAAAAACAUGUUGAUGGUUGGCUAUUUUGCUUUGAAGGAAACAUCAUUUACAUUUAUUCGUUCUUUUCUUAACUUUCUGUUCCAUAGGGAUUGCACUUAUUCCUAAAAUUUUGUCAGUUAGAAAUUUCAAAUUUGUUCUUGGUGAAACACAAAGGUUUAUCUAAUGUCCAUGAAAUUUAAUAGCAAUUUGGAUGGAGGCUUCUUGCAAGCUCUCAACAAGUAGGUGGCCACUAAAAGGUUUGUGUUUCCUAGAAAAUGUUGGAGUACCUGGUGCACUGGAAACCAUUUCCUUCUGGUAGGGGUUCUGGAUUGCUUAGAGUUUCACUAUGGAAGUUCUCAAAUCAAAGUGGGGAAUCAGCCAUGUCAUUUGUGAUAUUGAGCAUGUAAGGAGGUUGAUUCUUUUGUUGCUUUCUUGCAGAAUCAUUCAGGGCUCAAACCUCAAUACUAAGAAGAAUCUUCAAGCUUUAAACAAGGGUUGUAUCUAGGGCCAGGGGUUGCUGUACCAAUUGCAACCAGACUGUAAGUUUUAUUGUGCUAACAGAUGAGGUCCUUGUAGUGGUUUUGAACUGAUAUAGUAUGGAGUGGAACAUGCUUAGAAAUUCUGUAAGGAUGAGACAAUGAGCCACUAGGCCUUGGCUCUUUAUUAGAACUACAGGCUUCUUAGCAGGAGAAAAAGGGAUCCAUUAGAUCCCAAGACAUUCACUCUACAAUGGUUCCUUUAGUCAUGGAAGAUGGUUUGAUUCUCUUACUCCUUUCAUGUUCUCCUUAGUUGUUUAUUUGUACUUGGUUAUGAAAGGUGUAUAUGUAGUUGUUCUCACCAGAUUACCUGGUUCUUUUAUUGGUUAAAACAAGGAAAGUGCCACUUUCACCAUCUUUUAUCCCACAUCCCUCGUAGGUAAAAUGAGUAAAUCGACUAGCAUGCCGGUGUCCCUUCAUCUCUAUGUCAGUAGACAAAGCAGAGAUGUGAGGGUAGUAUUCUAGUGUACAGAUAAAUAAUGAAAAAAAUUUAGUUCUGGGAUUAACAAUGACACAAGUUGAUAUAUAACUCAUUAUUAAAAUUAAGUUUUGGUCUACUUUACCUUCAAAAAAUUCAAAUUGGGCAUAACUAUACUGACCAAUGCUGAUGGUAACACAUCUUGAACAUGGAGAAUAUAAAGAUGCUGGCAUCUAGGUUCAGCCAAAGUCCAUAAACAUGUUAGAAAGUAGCAAAGGAUGCAAUUGAAGCACAAGUGUCAAUUGUGGCCUGCUUUCCUCCUUUUUUCAUACCCAAUAUAGACUAGAUUUGAAAUCGAACAUUUGGAUUGGACACAGGUUUGGGACAAUGUUGGAUUAUGAAAGUAUGGGUGUAGAAUAAUCUUAAUUUAAAAUUAUAUAGUAGUUUUUAAGGGAAGGCUAUUAUAAUGUUAUGUUACCUAACACACUUGGACCAAAAAGAGAAAAAGAAACGUAGCAAAGUUGGACUAAUCUACUUAAAUGCCUGUUCCAUGCUGAAUUCCCAAAAGUAUACACCCAUCUCCUUAUCUCAAUACGAAAAUCACAAGAAAGAAUGAUUUUUCUACGUUUCUAGAUAUGGAAUCAUGGAAAGUUGCUCAUGGUCAUCAUCUUUCUCCAAUUAGACAAAGCUACUUGGUGCACGCCAAAUCAAUUUGCAUCACAAUCCUCAUCAACAUCACGGAAAGAAUUCAAGGAAAUUAAGAAAAGGAGCUCUUCAGUAAAGCAAGGUCUCCGGUAAAAUAUACGGAUAGCUAAAGACGGAAUUAUAAAAAGGCCCCCCUUUUCUAACCAUUCUUGUAAAGACAAAAAGAAAUGAUAGUUGUGCCCUUAAUUAGAUUCUCGUAGUUUUCAGUUUGGGAAGCAGUGUGGAAUUGCCCAAGAGAGGGCCAUGGUCUUAAAGAUACAAAAAUAUGACAUGAACAUUAAGUUUGAGAUAACAAAAACUUUCAAUGAAGAAUCAAUUCUAGACAAGAACAAAAAUAAUAAAACUGCCAUUUCAGCGUAAUGGUGCUGCCAUGACAUUCUCAUAUCUGGUAUCUUGAUAUAUAGCUUUGCAGCAAAGUAUCUAAGAAGAAAACAAGUUUGGUGACACUGCAAAUCACACCCAAUUUUUUCCUUUCCUUUCCUUUCCUUUCUGAAGUAGGAUACUGAAACUUUUCACACCAAUGAAAACAAGAUGUAAGAGAUCAAAGACAGCUAAUCCCCUAUUUAUACUUCAAAUGUUUCUUACAAUCUUUUGCUGUUUGUAUUUCUGUUCAGUAGAGGAUUGAGGGAACUCAUGGCAGACUUCAGCUUAAUGCUUGAACCCAGGUCACUUAAGGAUUCCUCUACAUAGGGGACUAGAGUCUUGAGCAGUCUUUCCACACAAUCUAGGAACUAAAACAAUAAUACACUCCAUAUUCAAGUUUCUUAUUCAAAUUCAAUCAUCCUAAAUGAGACAACCAUGCAAGGCCUUUGCCAGCUAUAUGAAUUAUCAUUUCGUUCUAAAUAAAAUUUUACAUGGAAGUAGCUUAUCCUUAUCCUUUCACACAACUUCUAAAUUUUUUUCAUCAUAUCAUGCCGGUUCAGGAUGAAAGUGCAGUCUCUCUUGUUGCCAUUCGCAGUAAGCAUAAAAACCCUUCUCUUUCUUAUGUAAUGAUGCUAUGGAAACUAUAUUUGUUGCAUCACAAAACUACAUGUCACAACAUCAAUGAACAAAGAUCUUAUUCAUGACAGAAAGAUAUAUGCUUAUAAAAGGGAAUCUAGACUUAUAAAAUGAAUGGAAAAAUCCUAUGAUAAAUACAGAAAAACUUAAUCCACAGCUAAUUAACAAGAAGCUACUGUAGAUUCAGUAUUCUAUUUAUUGCUUGCCUAUCAAGAAAAGACAAUAUGCUACUGUAAAUGAUAAUAUAAGCUUCUAAAUAUGCAAAAAAACUCAUAAGAGUUCUAAAUGAUAAGGUGAUAAGAUGCUGCAAACCUUGUGCUUGCAAAUUCAUAGAGCUUCCCAGUGCUGGAAAAGAUAAUCAGUCCAACUUCUGCAUCGCAUAGAAUUGCUAGCUCCUUAGCCUUCUUCAACAGUCCCUUCCUUCGCUUUGAGAAGGUAACUUGCCUGCUCGUAGUAUUAUCGAUCCUCCUAAUCUCGAUCUUUCCUCUUCCCAUCCUCACGGCUCGCUCUAGAUUCUAGGGUUUCUACAACAUGGAAAAGAGAUACCGUAGUGAAUAAACCAAAUGAUUGUUAGCGUAAAAUGGAAGAGGAUUUAUAGAUGAUCUUACUCUUUUAAGAUUCAAAUUCAAUGGUUGAUGCUGUGAGAGGUUUGUAAGCAUUCUUAUUCACAUCUUCUUUAUAAGGGAAUAAGUGGUUUUCAAUGAAAGUGAAACCACUUAAUAGGGAGAAUAUAGGACUGGUUUGAAAUCCUGAAACCACUAAUAAGAGUGGGGUUGUUUUACAGUUGUGUACUCGAGGAUGAAUCAGAAGCUGUAAAGACCUUUUAAUUUUUUUUAGUAUUUUGAUGGUGUCAUCCCCGUCCGCCGUAUUAGUCAGUGACACCUGGGAAUACUAGUUCAAGUAUAGUAUGGUUACUUGAUUAAUUUUUUUAAGACACGGAAAAUAUUAAUAUAACACGGGUUGCACUAAACGCUUGAGCACUGUGAAGGAUAAUUACAAGGCGGACGCUUGGUAAAGCUUUAUACUUAAUGUUUAAUGACUUAAAAGUGACUUUAAGUUAAAUAUAUGCUUAAUUUAUCAAGUCAUACUGCAGUUAAACCACUGGCUAAAGUAUAAGCAAUCCCUGAUAAACUAGCUCAUGUUUAUUUAAUGAGCCAAGCAAGCAAAAAUUUUGGAUUGAAGCUGCACCAAUAUUUGAAAUGAUCAAAUUGGUCUUUCCAUGAUAUACACUGUUGUUCUAUGCAUGGAUAUGUAGUCUUUCAUUGCACUGUAUGCAUGGAUAAUAUACAUAGUGCUCGCAAUUCAAAACGUGAGAACAUGUAAUUGGUUGUUGUAACUUGUGAUACAGAAAAGGCCAUAUUCUCUGUUGGAACCAAAUCCACGGCCACUGGAUUUGGUUAACCUACUUAUAGAAUUCUGUCUCAGUUGAAUUAGUAAUGUUGUGUAUUUGUCUACUAUGGAACACCAUCCUUCUGCUUCCAUCUUCUUGCUUCAUUUGCCUUACAACAUCAUGAUCUCUAAAGAUGGAUACCUGUUACAGUUCCUUCCAAGACGGAGAAACCCUGCAACUGGCUGCAGGCCAAUGGCAUGUUACCGACACACAUGUGAAGGGCCGAAACCCCCCAUCCGCCAAUCGAGAGGAGUCUUGGCACGCCCUUAUCGUGCUUAGCCCAAUGGCAAACAAUCCGUACAAUCCCAUCACCCAGGGUUGUGAGUUUUACUCUUGCCAAAAAGAAUUUAUUCAGAAACUGUGGAUAUAUAUAUUAUAUGCGAUGGUUAGAGACCUGAAUAGACUUGUAUAAACAAAUCAUGUUAGCUCCGGUCGGUGCAUCAACAAUGAUAAAGGUUUGGUGACUGCCUGUAAACACAAUUUACGAUUGGCUGAAGGCCACGUGAAGUGGAUUUGUUCAACCAAUGAGAUUGAGUCUUAGCAGGAAAAUGGUAAUGGGAACAAGGGAGACCCAAAGUCAAGAGUGGAUUAAAAAAGUGGGGAGUAGUCAUGCCUCCAACUACGAGCAACGAGCUUAGCCAGGUGUCAAUCAUCAACAAAUCAUAUAUGUGCAUAGGCCGAGGAAAAGAGGUGAUCUCAUAAACAAUGUUCAUUACUUUAUCUUCCCAAAAAAUGGAAAUGCCACUUUUCUGAGUCACCCGCCAUUGAAAAUUGCUUCUUUACAGAUGCGAUAUUGUUAAAGGGGCAGAGAUAUAAAAUAAUGAGAUCAGCACAUGAACUUUUAUCAUAACUCUCAAUUUCCUCCACCCAAGGAGAGAAGAUAUGGCUUUCCUGGAAAGGAGGAUGGGGUAUGCCCCUUUUGAUGCCUCAACCCCCACAUGCACUUGGAAGGAACAAACUUGCAAAAUUCACGUACGAUUUGAGUUUUGAGAACAGCCCUCAUCAUUAGCUGUGCAUGCAUGGAUUUUGAGGGAUUUGAAGCACAAGGAAGCUGACUACAUUCCAAUCUUGUUUGCCUCUUUUUAACUUACACUUUUAACCAAGCCACCCACUUGCCUGUAUUUGUCUCUCUGGCCUCCAUCUCAAAGAAUCAGUGAAGCCUCUUCAACCACGUAGUCCAUCCUAUUAUGUAUAUCGAGGAAUGGAAACAAGACAGAUGGACAUCUUCAAAUCCAAAACCACUAGUUCACCUCAUUUAAUCUUCAUAUAUAUGGUUGGAAAUUGCAAAAUUUGAGUUUAUUAUCUCCAAGAGGAUAAGGGCACACAGCCAGAGACACUACACCAUUCAAUUUCUCACUGAAUAGUUCCCAUUUCACCGGGUUUGAUGGUUUUUAUCUUCAAGAUAAUGUUUCUUAUUAAUUAUUACUUAUUAAAUAUGAAAUGUAUUUCUUGGGCUCCAAGACUGCUAGGCUUGCUCAGCAAGGCUCGAAGGCCACUUAGGUGCUUGUAGUGGGUUGGGCCCAAUUGUAGAAGCCCAACAACUUCUAGCCCGAACGUAUCGUUUAGUUGACCCUUACCAAAUGUGAUACAAAAUUAGGGUUUUGCUUCGGGUCCGGCAAUGGAUGAUGGUAGUAACAAUUGGAAGGAAUACAGGGUGCUUCAUUGCCAUUUUAAUGAGCUCUUCGUUCCUAUUAAACGACACCGUUUCUGACCUUCUGGUUUUCUAUCUUCUUUCUCCGUUUCGUCUUCUGCAAGUGAAAAAUGCUGGGUUUGGGCUUCAUAGUAUUCUCAAUUCUUGUAAGACAGAUCCUUUUUCUUUUUUUUGGGUAUAAUAAAUGUAGGAUUCCUAAACUAAAAUGAAAAACAAUUCCUCAUACUUCUCUUAAGUUAAUUAAUAUUUUCAAUAAUAUCACUUAUUGAAUACUAAGCAUCAUCUUUUAACUUUUUGAAUACAUUCGCUUUAACUCAAUCUUUAAAUUUAAAAAACUUAAAGUUUGAUCGCCAUCCUCUACAAGUUUUAUUAUUUAGAAUACGUUUGAGAGUGAUUUUAGAAAAUGUUUCUAGAAUUUCUAACACUUGAAUGAUGAAAAUUUUCGAGUAUUAAAAAUAUUAAAAACAUUUCCUAUAAUCACUACCAAACGGGAUCUUAGUGAAACUUGAUAUUUAUGCGUUUGCUUUUACCAUAAAACAUUGGAUUAUUUGUCAAUACAAUUACAACUUAUCAUUUGUAAAAUCUUCGGAUUAUCUUUCUUAAGCCCUUCUUCAAUUAAAAUUCUGUUCUUCUUGCUUUUUUUUGAGCCAAUGUUCAACUUUUAUUUUUUAAGAAUUGUGCAUCUAUACUCACAAUCGACUUACCUAAUUUUGGAUUAUAUAAUUUGUAACUUUUAGUUAAUACUUCUCACUUUUAUCAUCAAAUUUUUUUCUACACUUUUCUAGUAUAUGGGAAUAAACAAUACACCAAGUAAAAAAGAAACAUCUUACACUUGUUCAAAGUCAUUUCCUUCUUUGGGAUUAGUUCAAAGUCAUUCAUCCGUUCAUAUUUUAGUAUCUACAAUUUCAUUUGCUUGACAUGAUCAUCUUCUUUGCACAAUUUUUGUAGAGUAUCCCAUGCACACUUUGUUGUUUUUGUCGUUGAGAUUUUCACAAAUAUAGAUUUAUCUACGGUUUAGAAUAUUAUAGAAUGCUUCAUAAUCUUUCUUUUGGGGGAUCAUUGAAUAAAUUUCUUUGCUCUUAUAAUAGCACCUCAAAUAAAAUAAUUCUUUUGAAUUAGUCACUUUGUUGUAACCAUUUUUUUUAGUGGGAUCUAAAUAAGACCCGAUUAUUGAAAUUAUUGCUUGUAAAUUUCAAUUAAGUUACCAUUUGUAAUCUCAUUUCAUCAACAUAAUUGCAAUUUUCUUAAUAUUAUGCAUAUUCUUUGUAUUGAAGUUCUAAUCUUCCAAUGUUGCACCUUUCUUGAUCUUUUAACUCUAAUACCACAUAUUGGAAUACUUUCGGUAUUGAUAAUCAUUCUAUUUAAAAAAUGAUAUUUUAUUUUAUUCAACUCAUUAAUCAACAUAUGUAAUAACAAGUCUCUAUUUAUAAUAAAUUUAUCAUUUGAAAGUACUAUUAAUUUAUAAUUAGACUUAAAGUCUUAAAUAAUAUAAAAAACCUAAAUAAAUAAUAAUUUUUAAUAUUUCUCAAACUUCUAAAAUUUUAGGUUAUAUUUGAUUUUUGAAAAAUUUGAGGGAAAAUAGAAGAUAAAAAAAUAGAGAGAAAAAUUAGAAAGAAAGAGAAAGUGAAAAAAAAUAAAAAAAAGGAUUUAAAGUUAAUAAAUUAUUUUUAUAUCAUGAUUUUAAUUUAUUUAAAUUUUUUGAUAUAAAGAUUAAAUAAUAAUUUUAAAAUAUUGAAGUUUCUAAUUAAUUUAAAUUAUAUUUAAUUUUCUUUUAUGUUUUCACAAACUAAGGAAAAAAUUAUUUUCCUUCAUAUAUUUAUUUUCAUUUCUUGAUAUUUUUUAUGAAUCAAAUGUAACCUUAAAAAUUAUAACUCCGGAGUAAUGUUUUCAACAUUAGAAGAAAUAUUAUUUUCAUAUUUUGUCUUCAUUCGCUUGUCUGCAUAGAUGCCGCUGGCCAAACUGGCAGUCACAUUGAAGUGUUUGAAAUAAAUAUUAUCAUAUUACGAGGAAAAUUACUUGGUCUUAAAUAUUAAUUACACGCACAGCUCACUUGUAGCAAAAUGGGUUGUCGAUUGCUAAAAAUGCUUUUUAAUGUUUCUCUGGCUUAAGAAAAUAGCAGCAUUAUUCUUUAAUUAUUCUGUUUCCCAACAAUUACGGAUUCCUUUUAGAAUUCGACCAUUGGAGGUCAACGUUGUGAAAUGAUAUAAAAUCUUGUGUUGAAUCCUUCUGCCAUGUUCUGGUCCUUGGUUUUCUUUCUCGUUGAUAAGUCUCCUACCCGUUUCAGCUGAGCAUGGGGAAUUGCUAGCUGCUGUUGCAAAGUCAUGGAGUUAACGUAAACGUAAUCAUAUGAGAUGUACAUACGAGACUUGGUUUGAAAGGAAGGCAUAUUUAAUGUUUCGAGGUUAUCAUGAUGAUGAUUGUUUAUUUUUUAUUUCCUUGAAUGCCGGCAGUUUGCAGCGAAAAAUCCGCAAUUAUCAGCAUUUCUUCAUAUUUUGGGGAGAUGAUCCAUUUCAAUGAUUCAAUACAGCUUCUCCUCAGAUUUAAAAUAAAAAGAUGGUAGUUGAAACUUGAGCAUCAAGGUAUAAACUAAUGCUAGAAUUAUUAUAUAAGGUCAAAUGCCAGUUUCAUGCAGUAGCCCUGGCUACUUGUCCUUGAAUUUUCUCUGUGUGAAGAGAGCCAUGGCCACCUCUUUCUGUGAUUUACCAACUUCAAUUACUACCAAUAUCCUAUCCUCCCUUCUUUGCUUCAUUUUCCUCCCAUGUGUUUACUCAGUUUCCUUCCAAAUAUCUCGCUUUGGCCGUGAUGGAAACAUCCUCUAUGAAGGAGAUGCAGUACCUUCUGUUGGAGCCAUUGAAUUCAACAAAGUGAAUUACCUAUGCCGUGUUGGUCGUGCCAUUUAUGCUGAGAGAGUGCGGCUCUGGGACUCUAACACAGGAAAGCUCUCCGACUUUUCUACUCAUUUCUCCUUCAUCAUUGACACCCGGGGUGCCACGAACUAUGGUCAUGGGUUGGCGUUCUUUCUCGCUCCCGUCGGUUUUCAGAUCCCACCCAACUCAGACGGUGGAUUUUUAGGCCUAUUUAACACCACAACCAGUUUCUCAUCUCAGAAUCAAAUUAUUGCUGUUGAGUUCGACUCUUACUCAAAUGAAGAGUGGGAUCCUCCAUUCGAGCAUGUGGGUAUCAAUAACAACUCGAUUGCUUCAGUUACGUCCACUAGAUGGAAUGCUAGCUUUCACAGUGGAGAUACUGCUGAUACUUGGAUUACCUACAAUGCUACUACUAAGAAUUUGACUGUGUUCUGGAGCUAUGAAGCAAAUCCUGUUUNNNNNNNNNNNNNNNNNNNNNNNNNNNNNNNNNNNNNNNNNNNNNNNNNNNNNNNNNNNNNNNNNNNNNNNNNNNNNNNNNNNNNNNNNNNNNNNNNNNNUAUUUUGUAACUACAAAGAUUCAUCACCUUUUAAGAAAUGGUUUGAGUGCUAUCUCAAUUUUCUACACAGCUCAACUUCACUUGUUUACUCAUUUCUCAAAGUGUAGUUCUGUUUCACCAUUUAAGCCAACUUAGCAUAUCUAAAAAGUACAAUUAAACAAGUUGUGUGAAAAUAUUAUAGUAAAAACUAAGUAAAAAUUUGCUCAGGGAUGGAACUAAAAGAACUCCUGCUAUAAGCAAAAUGGAAAGUUACCUGGUCAUAGUCAAUGUAGCCAGUGCUCUCAUUCAAUCUAUAUGGCAUUGUCUCAAAAAAUAUAGACACUGCAGAUAUUUUCUUGGUGUCGGUCUGCACAAUAGCGAAGAAAUGAGGAGGUUACUCCCUAGCACAUAAGAAGGCAAAGUAAUAAUACCACAAACAAGGAGAGAUCAUCAAAUAUUAGAAACCUCCCAGAUGACAGUUCAAACACCAAAAGAGAAUAUAUAUAUAUAUAUAUAUAUAUAUAUUCAGUUACUACACUCUGUGCAGCUAUUAAGCUUGCUUUGAAAACAGAAACUCACAUAAUUAUUUUUCCAAGCCAAAAUUUUUUUCCCAUGGCUAAAAAGUCAAAAUAGACAGCCACUGAGAAGAUGGAAAGCACUGGUAUAUCUAGCAGGGAACUCUAGAUGAAAGUCAUAAGCACCUGAUAGCCAUGAGAAAGAUGUCCACCAUGAGGAAGAUCAAGUGCCAUAAUUCUUUCAUGAGCUUUUAAUAGUGCAGUGUAAACUUGAAAAUUUGCAGGCGAGCCAGAUAAAGACUGCACGUUCACUGCAUAACCAAGGGUGAUUAAACAUUUAUCAAAGCUGACACACUAUUACCUGCUGAAAAAAAGGAAAGGAGAAAGAAGAAGAGAAAACACAGCGCCUGGAAGUUUUUUCACUAAGGGUGCCAUGAAGGAAACUUUUCCUUUCCUAUCAAAAUAAGUAGUCUUAUAAUUUUUCAGAGUGCCCAAAAGUAACCAGAAUUGAUAACUUUUUAGGCUAGAUGUUAACUUCAUAUAUAUUCUGAUAUUCGCAUCUAACUGAUACUAUUUAGGACAUAAAUGAGCAUUGCUUGUACGGAUCCAGAGAAUCUCAAACAGAUAAAUCCACAUGCCUACAUAUCUUUCAGAAAACUUUAAACCAGUUCAUGGUGAGAAAAGAAUUUCAAAAACAUUGCUUUGAAACAUGUAGAUGGCAUCUAUCUUGACAUACAUGAUCAUAUGUAUUUACCUCCCCAUUUUGCAGGAUCCAACCGAAAUGCUUCCAAAGCACGCUUCUGGCACAAGGAUUCUGCCAUGUCAAUGUACCUGAAAGAUAAAAGGUUUCACUCUUUCUACUUCAGUACUAACCAGGAAAUCCAAAAGAAUGAACACUGGAACUGACUACAUAAAUAUGAUAAUGCUAAAUGAUAACAAUGACCAAUAGACAUUACAAAUACCACGAUGACCAAUAAACAUUACAAAUACCACGAAAGAAAAUCAUGAUAAGGAAAUUAAUAUCUUCUUACUCAUUUCCUCCAUAGUAUCUAGCGCCUGGAUAUCCUUCGCUGUACUUGUUUGUCAUAAUAGACCCAACAGCUUGCAUAACUGACACAGAAGUGAAGUUCUCGGAGGGUAUGAGUUCAAGUCCCUUUACAAACACAAAAGAUUUUCAGUAGGAUAUCAACUUGUACACAAAGCACCAACUCAAAAUCGAUGCCGAAAAGGAAUCUAUGCUGAAAAAUUCAAGUUAAAUCUGCAAACAAUUUUAUAUUUGGAUGAUUGUUUCAAUUUUCCAACAACUGAAACGAUAAAAGAUGUAAUGUACAAUUUCCUUUUCUUUCAUUUUCUUCCAGUUUCUCAGUAAUGAAACAGAACAAGGUGAUACGAGGUCACAAAUUAACAUGUUCUAUAACUUCCACGUGGAUUAAUGCUGGUUCAAUGAAACAUGAAUAGCAACUCCACUGGUGAAGACAUUUGUACCUUCACAGUCGAUUUAACAAUUGAAUCCACUACAACUCGAAAGUACUGUUUAAAGAAAAAAAAUAUCUACAGAGACAGAGAUAUCACCUUCCAUUGUCUUGCUUUCUCGAGCUCAAUAAUGUCUGCAAUUUCAGGAUCCACAACCCCCAGCGGAGCAUUCAACUGCUUUGGCCACUGAAAUUUAUACCAGAACAGAACAAAUAAGAUGAAACGACAUAAUAAACAUUCCAGGAGAGAAGAGAAAAAAAAAUCAAUAAAUGAAAAACUAAUUCGCUUACUGUAACACGAGAUUUCUCCUUCUCGUAUACAGCUUCAUUCGGUAAAGAUGCCUGGAAAAUGAAACCAAAACGAAAAAUGGAUCAUCAGAAACAGAACAAGCACUUCCAAAGAAAUCCGGAUGCUCAAAGAAUGUAAGAAAAGGAGAAUAAAUAAACAAGUUUAGAACCACCAAAAGUUCUUCCACUAUUCCGUCUUUUCCUGUAUUUUCUGAGCAUCCAAACAGGGAAAUGAGAAAGAAAGAACCAUGUAAUAGAUGGAACCGCCAUUGAAGACGCUACGAACGGGCUUGUCGACGGACGAUGAAAGCCUCCGAAGCGCCAUUGCCAUCGCCAUCUCUCUCUUCGUCACUCACUCUCCAACUCUCCCUUUGUUAUUCUCUGGUUUUGGGUGAGUUUUGGGUGGUUGAUGUUUUCGUUAUCUCACUCCCAACCUCAGAGGUGCAGAGACUUGGACGGAUGCCAACGGUAUGACUCACCACCACCAACUGCUUUCAAAUUUCAAUAGCCAUUCACGGUCCCACCAAAACUUCAGACUGAUUCUAUCAAGGUGGCUUGUGUAUAAAUUGCUCAGACCCAAAUUUAAUCGGAUAGUCAUAUCCUACGUAGCAGAUUCAAGCUCUGUUACCUCCCUUGGUUUGUGGACCGUUGAUGGCAACCGCCUUCCCUCUCCUCGCAUGUACCGAAUUCUCAUUUGGAUGUAGGUAAUAAAGAGUAAUUUGGAAACUUUGAGUGGGAAAAUUUUCAGAUAAAUUACGAAAUUUAAUCAAAACCUUCAAUAUUAUAAAUAAUAUUUUUAUAUUUGAGGGAUAAAUUACGAAA
rnacentral:lncRNA from 1 species